ensembl:lncRNA
UGUUGGAAAAAGUGUUAAACUCUAUUAACGUAAAAUUCUGUGUGCAGAUUUAUAUUAUGAGGUUUGAACUAUACUAAUAUUGUAGAAUUACAUAAUCAACAUCUGAACAUACUUACGUUAAACAUUAAUUGAGCCACUGAGUAAUAGAUAAGAUAUACACUAGGUACGGGAGACGGUGCGACGGGUGUGGUCGAUGUAAGACGGGAGUGGUGUUCUAACCAAGUGCUGAGAAAUAAGGUUUUUAUGCAUUACAGGUGAACUACAGGUGAAGUCACUCAAUCCAGUCCCAGAGGCUUGUUGGGGGGACCAUACCAAGGUCUCCUGGUGACAGCCAGCUGAAAGAGCUACCCGGAUUCAUAUCGCACGGCGGGAGGAAGUGAAGGUGUGUCUGGCUCUUGCUAAGUGAUGUGUUCUCAGGGAGAGGGUGGGGCUUCACAUGGAAGCUGUUCGUCUGAGCUGUCUUAUCGUGGGUGCCAUAUUCCUGAUACAGCACGUCCUACCUGAGUAUGCGGAGAGUGGUAAUUUGACCCAUGGUUUAGACGAUGAGGAUAUUGUUCCAAAACAAGCAUAAGAGAUCCCUAGAUCUGGGUAGACAGGAAGUUAGAGUAGAGGUUGGGAAGGAUCUCUCAAUGGAGUUUUAUGUAGACUAAAUGGGGUCUCUAACUACAUGGCAGUCUAGAACUCUGAGCCAUUAUGGCAUAUAUCGGUGCAGGUUCCCAUAUUGAUCGUGGACACAGGUAAUAGCUCGUUUGGAGAGAAAGGGAUAUAUGAAUCCACUCA